rnacentral:lncRNA from 1 species
AUCCCUCAACAACCUAAAAAAUAGCCGGGCGAUUCGCCCGGGAAUUCAACCCACGCACAUUCCAAACUAACAACUUUAGGUUCACAGUCAUCUAGAUGUUCCACGCACCACCGGACACACCUAACGCACCUAGGAAGAGGCCGUCGUGAGCUCAUCCGCCAUUAGAGGCAGAGCUCCUCGAUCCCAACCAAAUAAGGCUAGAAUCGCCCCGAUGUGACUUUGCUGAAGUGGCUUCUCAAACAGCUUCAGGUAAGCCUGCAUCGCCUCGCCCUCCCGGCGAUCCCCAGUUUUGAGAUCAGCAAACGUUGCUGCCUCUUGAUCGAGGACCCAGUCCUGAAGCGCUGCGCCAACCGCUUACUUCGCCUAACCGGACUUCCAUGCCUCGCCGACCUCCUCCUCUUUGGCAGCGGAAGCAUAGCGGGGGUAGACCGCUGAAUCCGCUCGCGAAACGAGCCAAGGUCCCCCUGGCCAGUCGGAGUGGACACCAACCUCGCCGGGGUAAACGGGAUGGUCACCC